rnacentral:rRNA from 1 species
CCCUUAGAUGUUCUGGGCUGCACGCGCGCUACACUGAAGCUAUCAACACGUUUUCCCUCCCUGAGAAGGGCGGGUAACCUUUUGAAUCAGCUUCGUGGUAGGGAUCGGGGAUUGCAAUUGUUCCCCGUGAACCAGGAAUUCCUAGUAGACGCGAGUCAUAAGCUCGCAUCGAUUAAGUCCCUGCCCUUUGUACACACCGCCCGUCGCUACUACCGAUUGAACGUUUUAGUGAGGCAUUUGGACCGACGCAUCUCAGUUUAACCGCUGGUUUGUGUUGGAAAGACUUCCAAACUUGAGCGUUUAGAGGAAGUAAAAGUCGUAACA